rnacentral:misc_RNA from 1 species
GAUGAAGAACGUAGCGAAAUGCGAUAAGUAAUGUGAAUUGCAGAAUUCAGUGAAUCAUCGAAUCUUUGAACGCACAUUGCGCCCCUUGGUAUUCCGAGGGGCAUGCCUGUUCGAGCGUCAUUAUAACCCUCAAGCUCAGCUUGGUGUUGGGGCCUGCUGCACUGGCAGCCCUUAAAAUCAGUGGCGGCGCCAUCUGGCUCUAAGCGUAGUAAUUCUUCUCGCUAUGGAGUCCUGGUGGAUGCUUGCCAUCAACCCCCAAUUUUUCUAUGGUUGACCUCGGAUCAGGUAGGGAUACCCGCUGAACUUAAGAAUAUCAAUAAGCGGAGGA